UUUUAGAAUUUGGCCCCCCUUCCCCGUUUCCUCCCCCUUGCACCGCCCCUUUGAAACAUGUGUGAACCCCGGCGUAAAAGGCCCAAGAAAAUUUGACCAUCCCCCCCCUUCCCCCCCUUUUUCCCCGGGCGUCCCCCUAAAAGGCCCCACUAAAACGGGGGGAACAAAAGGAAAGGGUGUCCCCCUUUGGGGAAUUUAACCCAAAAU
rnacentral:rRNA from 1 species